AUUGAACGCUGGCGGCAGGCUUAACACAUGCAAGUCGAGCGGGGGAAGGUAGCUUGCUACUGGACCUAGCGGCGGACGGGUGAGUAAUGCUUAGGAAUCUGCCUAUUAGUGGGGGACAACAUCUCGAAAGGGAUGCUAAUACCGCAUACGUCCUACGGGAGAAAGCAGGGGAUCUUCGGACCUUGCGCUAAUAGAUGAGCCUAAGUCUGAUUGGCUAGUUGGUCGGGUAAAGGCCUACCAAGGGGACGAUCUGUGGCGGGUCUGAGAGGAUGAGCCGCCACACUGGGACAGAGACACGGCCCAGACUCCUACGAGAGGCAGCAGUGGGGAAUAUUGGACAAUGGGGGGAACCCUGCUCCAGCCAUGCCGCGUGUGUGAAGAAGGCCUUAUGGUUGUAAAGCACUUUAAGCGAGGAGGAGGCUACUUUAGUUAAUACCUAGAGAUAGUGGACGUUACUCGCAGAAUAAGCACCGGCUAACUCUGUGCCAGCAGCCGCCGCAG
rnacentral:rRNA from 1 species